GUGACAACGUGUCCCACCACAUAUCAAAUAGUCCGCUUUUUAUAAAUAAGUGAUCUAUACCGAAAGAACUGGAAAAACCUCUAGAGAAAAUGGAUCCAGUAGGGAUUGGAACCAGCACCUUUUUUUGCUGAGGAGGGAUGUGAUGGAGAGAAGAGAUGGGGUGUGGGAAACUUGGAGAUGAGCAGGUCACAGGAAACAGGAUAUCUUACCUGGCCCUCGCUAAUCGCCACCAUGAAAUCAUCUGUUCUCCUGCACGGACACGCACCAUCACAGCAUCAAACUUAGAUUAAUGGACUGUGCUGUGGGAGCAGCAGGAAUGGCCAUUACCAUCCACGGAUCACUGGAGGAGGCGUGCACACAGUGGACACACAUGAGAGAGGCAGAGGAAAGAAGCGUGGAAGAGGUCAAAAAAAGUUCCUGGAUCAAUGGGGGAACAAGAGCAAAAAAAGUGGGAGCAGGACACAUUAAAUACUUGCAGAAAAAUAAUUAUUUUAUAU